rnacentral:misc_RNA from 1 species
AAGUCGUAACAAGGUUUCCGUAGGUGAACCUGCGGAAGGAUCAUUAUCGAGUUUGAAGCGGGUUGAUGCUGGCCUCUCGAGGCACGUGCUCGCCCCUCUCAUCCACUCAACCCCUGUGCACCUUUGGAGCGCGGCUUCCCCUUCUCGCGAAGGGAGCGUCGUUCCCUCUUCGGAGGUCGAGCGAUGGAGUCGCCGCUUCACUUUUUUAUACCAACCCCGAUACAAAGUACAGUAGAAUGUCACCGCCUUUGAAGGCAAAAAAUAAAUACAACUUUCAACAACGGAUCUCUUGGCUCUC